CCUACGGGGUGCUGCAGUGGGGAAUAUUGGACAAUGGGCGAAAACCUGAUCCAGCCAUGCCGCGUGUGUGAAGAAGGCCUUCGGGUUGUAAAGCACUUUCAGUGGGGAAGAAAGCCUUGGGGCUAAUACCCUCGAGGAAGGACAUCACCCACAGAAGAAGCACCGGCUAACUCCGUGCCAGCAGCCGCGGUAAUACGGAGGGUGCGAGCGUUAAUCGGAAUUACUGGGCGUAAAGCGCGCGUAGGCGGUCUGAUAAGCCGGUUGUGAAAGCCCCGGGCUCAACCUGGGAACGGCAUCCGGAACUGUCAGGCUAGAGUGCAGGAGAGGAAGGUAGAAUUCCCGGUGUAGCGGUGAAAUGCGUAGAGAUCGGGAGGAAUACCAGUGGCGAAGGCGGCCUUCUGGACUGACACUGACGCUGAGGUGCGAAAGCGUGGGUAGCAAACAGGAUUAGAUACCCGGGUAGUC
rnacentral:rRNA from 1 species